rnacentral:rRNA from 1 species
GACGAACGCUGGCGGCGUGCUUAACACAUGCAAGUCGAGCGGAAAGGCCCUUCGGGGUACUCGAGCGGCGAACGGGUGAGUAACACGUGAGUAAUCUGCCCUUGGCUUUGGGAUAACUACCGGAAACGGUGGCUAAUACCGGAUACGACAACCGUCUGCAUGGGCUGGUUGUGGAAAGUUUUUUCGGCCAGGGAUGUGCUCGCGGCCUAUCAGCUUGUUGGCGGGGUAAUGGCCUACCAAGGCUUCGACGGGUAGCCGGCCUGAGAGGGUGACCGGCCACACUGGGACUGAGACACGGCCCAGACUCCUACGGGAGGCAGCAGUGGGGAAUAUUGGACAAUGGGCGGAAGCCUGAUCCAGCAACGCCGCGUGAGGGAUGACGGCCUUCGGGUUGUAAACCUCUUUCAGUACCGACGAAGCGCCGAUGAUGGUGGUGACGGUAGGUACAGAAGAAGCACCGGCCAACUACGU